rnacentral:ribozyme from 1 species
UCGUUCGUAGAAUCGUAGAAAAAGAAGCAUACGCAUCGAACGAAAACAAGAAGAGUAUCCACCCGAACGUCACAGAAAACGAAACGAAAAGAACACAAAGAA